GUGGGUAGUUUGACUGGGGCGGUCUCCUCCCAAAGAGUAACGGAGGAGCACGAAGGUUAGCUAAUCCUGGUCGGACAUCAGGAGGUUAGUGCAAUGGCAUAAGCUAGCUUGACUGCGAGCGUGACGGCGCGAGCAGGUGCGAAAGCAGGUCAUAGUGAUCCGGUGGUUCUGAAUGGAAGGGCCAUCGCUCAACGGAUAAAAGGUACUCCGGGGAUAACAGGCUGAUACCGCCCAAGAGUUCAUAUCGACGGCGGUGUUUGGCACCUCGAUGUCGGCUCAUCACAUCCUGGGGCUGAAGUAGGUCCCAAGGGUAUGGCUGUUCGCCAUUUAAAGUGGUACGCGAGCUGGGUUUAGAACGUCGUGAGACAGUUCGGUCCCUAUCUGCCGUGGGCGCUGGAGAAUUGAGGGGGGCUGCUCCUAGUACGAGAGGACCGGAGUGGACGCAUCACUGGUGUUCGGGUUGUCAUGCCAAUGGCAUUGCCCGGUAG
rnacentral:rRNA from 1 species